CAGCAGCAGCCGCGGGAAUACGAAGGGGGCUAGCGUUGCUCGGAAUGACUGGGCGUAAAGGGCGCGUAGGCGGUUUUGACAGUCAGAUGUGAAAUUCCUGGGCUUAACCUGGGGGCUGCAUUUGAGACGUCAAGACUAGAGUGUGAGAGAGGGUUGUGGAAUUCCCAGUGUAGAGGUGAAAUUCGUAGAUAUUGGGAAGAACACCGGUGGCGAAGGCGGCAACCUGGCUCAUUACUGACGCUGAGGCGCGAAAGCGUGGGGAGCAAACAGGAUUAGAUACCCCGGUAGUCCCUGUCUCUUAUAC
rnacentral:rRNA from 1 species